rnacentral:lncRNA from 1 species
CAAACAAUUCUUGUUCCGGCAUUUGUACCAAUGAGCAAGACAAAAGAAUAUCUUAUAUAGGCUAAAGAUAUAAUUCUUCAAAUGAGGUUCAAGAAAAUUUCUGCUUCUAAAAGCUUCACAUGCCUUCGGAAGAACCCAAAUUAACCGAAAUAUUCUUCAAAUGCAUCACAAUCAAUUGCCACGUGCAAAAUUCUGUCGAUAAAAUCCCACAUACUGGUGCUGUACCAGUAAAAUUCUGAGAGGUCACACAUCAUCAGCUAUCAAACUAAUAUAAAAGCAGAAUCACAGAAAAAGAUGAGGGAUGUAAUAUAAAUUAUGAGAGGUCACAUAUCAUCAGCUAUCAAACUACUAUAAAAGCAGUAUCACAGAAAGAUCAGUGAUGUAAUAAUACACACGGGCAGGUACCACAUUCAUGAUCAUAAUACUAGAUUGAAUAAGGCUUGUAUUUGGUGAAUGGCUGCUAACUAUAGUACAGUAGUAAUUGCACAUGAUCACCUAUUGACUGCUGAUCCUCAAGGAUGCAACCAAGCAAAUAUAGCUUUGCACAUACAUUUCAUACUAUUAUCAUGAAUGGGUAGGCACAAAAGGAGUAGCCAUGUGAACAAGGAUCCUAGCCAAAGGUUCAUACAUCUGCAACCUUACUACUAUGAAGAUUCAAGACUGAGAUCAAGAGAAUGAACCAAUCAUCAAUUGACAAUCUCUCAUUAUUCAUAGCAAGUUCAUUUACAACAAAUAGAAAAUACGUGUUGUCCCUAAACAUUUAAGAUUGCUAAUUGAAAUUUCAUGGCUCAGCUACAAAGAUAGAUGAGUUCAGCUAUAUAUGUGCUAAGAAAUCUCAUUCCACCUCUCAUGCUGCUUAAGGAGCCAGAGCCACUCGACGGAUUAAUGGUACAGUUCAGUAAUUUCAAUCAUAUUAUACAGUUAA